rnacentral:rRNA from 1 species
AAUUGUAGCCAUACCAUCCUGAGUACAUGCAUUUUCAUCCAAUCUCAGAAACUGAGCAAGGUCAGGCCUGCUUAGUACUUGGAUGGGGGAAUUAACCCAGAACUUAGGAUACUAAUUA